rnacentral:rRNA from 1 species
GUUACAGCAGCCGCGGUAAAACGUAGGAGGCGAGCGUUAUCCGGAUUCACUGGGCUUAAAGCGCGUGCAGGCGGUCUGAUAAGUCGGACGUGAAAUCUCCUGGCUCAACUGGGAGAGGCCGUUCGAUACUGCCAGACUAGAGGGCAGGAGAGGGAGGUGGAAUUCCGGGUGUAGCGGUGAAACGCGUAGAUAUCCGGAGGAACACCUGUGGCGAAAGCGGCCUCCUGGUCUGCCCCUGACGCUCAGACGCGAAAGCUAGGGGAGCAAACGGGAUUAGAAACCCGUGUAGUCC